ensembl:antisense 4933431E20Rik RIKEN cDNA 4933431E20 gene
AGGCGCAGCUGCUGCGGCUCCUGAAAUCCUCCGGUGUGAACUUCUCCCAGGGCUGUUGAUGCUUCAUCUACUCUUCUGGCAGUGGGGGCCUGGACCUUAGUUACCCGGGAAGCGUGAGUCAUGUUGCACAGUUGAGCUGGCACAUAAAACUACGAGUUUAUAGAACAAGGAAUUGAAGCUUGGAGAAGAUUGAUGGACCACUCAAGUUCCCUGGAUGGUCCAGGAUGCAGACUGAGGAUGGCCUAAAACAUUAGUUUUGCUGGCUCCCUGUGCUUGGCUAACUUUAGAGCCUCUUACCUUGCCACAGUCUUUUCUAUGAAGGACAGAGAGCCAAGGAGUGGACCAACAUGCCUGAGUUUACACAGUGGACCUGAGGACCGUCACCUCCCAGUGCAAUGUUCCUGUGUACUGCCACUGAAGAGACAGGUGGGAGGGAGCUCAAGGUUGACUUGCCUAACAACCAUUGCUUGAAAGACAAAGCUCCCAAGGAGAGCACAAAAUACCUCACUCGAGACUCCUCUGCAUCACCAACCAGUGUGAAGAAAGCCUGCAGCUGUCAGCAGAGUAUUCUUUGUCUCGGUGACACGCUGUGCCUACAGUUGGACUAGAAACUUUGGAUUAGGGUGUGAGUCGUGCCCCAUAGGACAGAGGUGGUGCAUGUAGCCUCAUUUUGGAGUUUAUUUAGAGAGGAGAAAGAAUGUACCAUAGUCCCCAAAGGCUCUAGGUUACAGUGAAUUCUCUUUAGUUCAGUUAUAGUUUAGUUUAGCUUGGUUUGGUUAGCUGUGGUUCCGUUCUGUUCCGUUCUGUUCUGUUCGGUUCAGUUCGGUUCAGUUGCAGAGUUGUUGCUCUUUCAUGCUUUGCAUCCCAACUCCCUGCUCUCUCUUGGCUUUGGUUCCCAUCAGGUCCAGAAUAAAUGGCAAGGAGAGGGUCAUAGAACAAGUUAAACGAUGCUUUUUAUUGGCAGGAUUGGGACUAAAGAGAUCAGGAGUAAGACUGGGAAUAAGUAUGCCAACUUAGGGUGUGGGGUAAAAUAAAUAGUAACCGGUGAGGGUCUCCAACCCAAUGAGGUACCAUUUGCCUCAGUGUCUGGACCUGUUCAUCUUCUUUGCUUUGUGAUCCAGGAUAUGUGGCUUGCCACUAACUGAAAGAGGACUUCCAGGGGCUCUAACUGGGUACCAAAUACUCCAUCUUGCACAUGAGAGGUCCUUGGUCUUAGAGGUAUUCGAGCUGGUCUCUAAUGAGUCAUCUGAAGGGAGAAAACAAUUCAGAUGGGGCUGGUUCCUAGUGAGGGACUCCCCAGAGUUUAUAUCACCAAUGCGAUUAGAACUUCAAGACACACCUGAACGGAUGGAGCUGAGUCCCCAGAGGAAUAGCCCAUGCCUAGUGUCCCCAGCUCUCCCUUUCUCACCCCAGGAGAAUUAAAUUCCUCUGAAUAGGAGUCAGGAUCCCAGAGCUUCCUCACCCCCAGCAUCCUUCUGACAGCGUCCAGCCGGGCCUGGAUCCGUGGAGCCUCCUGUGGACACAGCAUCUGCAGCUCCCCAGGUCUCAUGUGAAGUAGCUGGCUUCCCAUUAGGGACCCGAGGGUCCUUACAGUGCUGUAAAUAACAAUGGUAGAAUCCACCAGAAGUAGGGUGGGCAGAUUCUAGGUCUUAGUAUUUGUGUAGAGAAGGAAAGUUGGGGUUACAGGAAUUAGGUAUCUGCAGGUACAGGGAUACACCUAGUGGUUUGGUCUCAGUGAACCACAGAACUCCGAGAUUUGAGGGCAGAAACACUUUAAAAAAGACUGGUCUGGAAGGGAAGGGUGGCUAAGGUGGGCAGCCCAAGUUCUUCCAGAAUUUGCUACCCUUGACUCUUUCUCUUUCACUACAUAUGGCCUCUGCACUGGGUGACCUACCCUAGGCUCAGACAAGCAGCUUUCAUUCAGCAGAGAAAGCCUAAGAUGGAGUCAUCAAGUACAGUGGAAGCUAGGUCACACUCUCUAACUCUGAGAGUGAAUGGAGCCUGUGGUUCUCCCAUUUACAGGGCUCACCGCCCCUCAUCCCCCAGGGGACUGGUCACUCACACAGUGGAGAAGUUCUCUGCUUGUAGCCAGGCUGUGACCUCCUCAGGCUUUGAGCUCAGGCGAAGCAUUGGGGCCUGGAAUCAAGGAGCACUAGAAGUCAGAGGUCAUCCCAUCUUACAAACAUACACAGCCUCCUGUAUUGGGUCCCUUCUACUGAGAUCCCAUCAGGAUGCUUAUCUCACCUUCUGGUUUCCUAGUUCGGCAGGGACGCUCACCUAAUCUUUGUUCAGACCCUAUAAUGAACUUGGCACCGAGGAAGCAUGCAAUGAUAUUGAUUAAACUGAACUAAGAUUGUC